UCCAUGCAAGGGAGACCUAGGAACAGAUAAACACAUGACAGGAUGCAGGUAACUUAAAACUUGUUCUCCUUAAAAACAUUAUUCAGGCCACCAAUGCCAUUUUUUUGGAUAUACAAAGUAAUUUUUUUAUUUUCUUUCUUUCAGCUGUAAGUAAAAAGUUAGCGUACACACUGCACUAUGUUUGAAACAACAUACGGAGAUCAAAGAGAAACCUGGGACUGCUGGCUGAGCUGUCAAAAACAGAGCAGUCCUGCGACAAACAUGACAGUUGGGAGGAUGCAGUGUCACGGGGUCGUUGUUCAAGCUGCAGUUUAAGCAUCCCGUUUGGAAAUAAAAAUUGGCCUCUGCUGUUUAUCUUCCACUCUGACUUCUAGACUGCUGCUCGGUUGUUGGCAUGUUUGGCCAUACUGGUGUUUGUAUCCAGCAAAGCUCCUGUACAGAAAGAAAAGAAGUUGGAGGAUAUGGCACCAUCUUGGAUUUAAUUUGCCUGUAUGCUUCUUCGCCGGGUGCUAUAAAACAAUGUCAAUUGGAGACACGCAUCUUUCUUUUUCCUUUAGCCAUGAGGGGGCCCUCUGCGAGGAAGUGGGGCCACCCAUAGGUGCAUCCCUGGAUCCCACUAAGUGGAGACACUGCCAUGGAGAGACAUUCCCAGUACCUUUUCAUUGAGCAAAGGGGAUUCAGGAUCUGUGUAUGGGGAACAACUGAUGGAAUAUCCCAUUUAUCCAGAUGAGACAGUUACAUAUAUUUGGCAAGUGACUCAAGGAGAUGCCCCCAAUGUCAUCUGAUCCACGUUGUCUAACAAGACUGAACUCCAGCUCCCUUAAUCAACAGAAAGAUUUAUCAUCUGGGCCUUUUGGACCUGCAAGAUGGCGACUGUGAGCUCCGCUGAGCUUCUCUGCAUUUAUGGAUAACCUUUUCUAUGCUGGUGGUGCAACUGUUCUUCUUCUUAGUGAAAACCUCCCGAGGGCACAUCACCAGGUUUUGCCCUGUUCCCAGGAACCCCUUGCACCUCUCUGGGUGAACAAAUGCACAAGAGAAAAUAUUUUAGGGGCAUAUUAUACUGAAAAUGUGCUCACUUUAAAUCCAUGCAAGGGAGACCUAGGAACAGAUAAACACAUGACAGGAUGCAGGUAACUUAAAACUUGUUCUCCUUAAAAACAUUAUUCAGGCCACCAAUGCCAUUUUUUUGGAUAUACAAAGUAAUUUUUUUAUUUUCUUUCUUUCAGCUGUAAGUAAAAAGUUAGCGUACACACUGCACUAUGUUUGAAACAACAUACGGAGAUCAAAGAGAAACCUGGGACUGCUGGCUGAGCUGUCAAAAACAGAGCAGUCCUGCGACAAACAUGACAGUUGGGAGGAUGCAGUGUCACGGGGUCGUUGUUCAAGCUGCAGUUUAAGCAUCCCGUUUGGAAAUAAAAAUUGGAAAAGAAGUUGGAGGAUAUGGCACCAUCUUGGAUUUAAUUUGCCUGUAUGCUUCUUCGCCGGGUGCUAUAAAACAAUGUCAAUUGGAGACACGCAUCUUUCUUUUUCCUUUAGCCAUGAGGGGGCCCUCUGCGAGGAAGGUAUUUUCUGCCUGGGGGGAAUCGCUUAAUGCAUUUCCCCCUUUUAAACGCCGUGGAAGUCUCUCUUUGGACUCACUCUGCCUGUGUCUUGCUCAGUUCAUGGCCGACCACACCCCUGAGUCACAAUUUGCUUAUAUUGACUUGGGGGCACUCUAGAUGCAAUGGGCACUUAGUUAGAUUGGGUACCAACAGCUUCCACUUGGAAUUCAUUCCCUUCACUGAAUUGUAUGUUAUUUGUAUAACAUGGAAUUGCUACGAUACAUGGGUGUAUGUAGCCAUAGAUCCUACACAGGAGGUCAUAGCUAUUGUUGAGGCCCCAGAAACUAUUUUGCAACUACUACUACUACUGUUUUUUUCUGACAUGAAAGGGAUUAAAAUCUGUAUUAUUUGGGAAUGCAGUGCUGCUGGGAUUUUCUGACUCAGCAAGUUACAUCCACAGUGCUAAGUAUUGGGAAAUCAGAUGAGUUCAGAUUGAGCCUUUCUUUCCAACAUAUAAUGUAUUAUAGUCAUAUUAACAGUACAACAUAUCUUGAUGAUUUACUCUCUUUACAGAACCAGUGCCCCCUAUAUAGUUACACUAUUAAUGGAAGCUGUGGUUUUGCCAAUAAAUUAAUUUUAUACACAUCACCUCGCAUUAACUUAACACAUAGUUUAUAGUGUAUACGGGCAGUUGCAGAACUAAGGACCCCCUUUCCCUUCACUUAAUGUAAAAGUGGGAGACGGUGCAGAAUUUAGACUGCAGGCUAAGGGGGAAGGUUCUGGUGGGGUUACGGAUCCUUACCAGACCCCCUAAGACUAUGGGCCCCUUAGGAUAAUAGGGUUUUCUCCUUGUUGGUUACACCACUGUGUACAGGCUUACCCCCAUAUGUAAUAUAAGUCACUAAGUUUGCCGGGAGCAGUAACCCAUGGCAACCAAUAAGAUGCAUUUAAACAGGUGACUAGUAAAUUCUACCUGACGAUUGGUUGCUACAGGUUACUACCCCUGGGCAAACUUAGUGUAUUUUAUUACAUAACCCCAUUAGUGUUAGAAACCAGGUUUAUUGAUAAUUUGCUUCCCCCGAACAUUUUCUGAGGUUGCCCAUGCCUGCUGGUGGGUCACAAGUGUCAAAUCGUUUCUGCACCCUCUGUUAGCAGUGCCCCUGUAAAUGGGUUUCUGAUAUUGAUGUGACAAACCUGCUCUGUGACACGAUAGUCUUAGAGUGACCUAGACAAUGUUGUAUUGGCAAAAUUAUAGAUUGUAGGGUAGGGGAGAAGGUGCUGACAGUAGAAUUGACACCUGCUAAACACCUGCGUAUCCAAUUCCAGACAUGUAACAAAGAAGAUGAAGAUUUUUGGACAAAUCAGUGAAUGUUUCCCUGCCUGUUAAACUUAUAAUACACUUGGAAAGGGAUAUGGAUUUGACACAUAGAAAACAGUUACUUGUGUGUCACAAAUCAGAAGGAUUUCCCUUUAUCUUAGUAUGGGGGAUCUGUAAUAUGGAUGGAUCGUGUGCAUUUUUGCUUACCUGCCAGUAUUCUGUGUUCACAGGAAAAAUGGCUGUAUAGUAACCCCACAAGGCAGGUUCAGGCUUUGUACCCACAUGCAUCUUCUCAUCUGCCCAAUGAAUAUUGUGUUGUGCAUUUUAACCUUCAUUGAUUGGGGCUCAGGGCUGGAGAGAAGGGAAGGUUUUUGAUGUGCAUGUGCCAGUGGGUGCACUGAGUAUACAGCCUUAUUGCCAUGAUGGAGGUGCCCAGAAUGACCAUUAUAAACAGAAUCUCCAUCCUGUUACCCAGUGUAAGAAUGCUUGGUGCAGGAGCCAUGCCCGCUGGAGGACUGUGUCUCUCACCCACAGGUCUUUUCUUACCCAUCAUCCCCUUUGGACUUAAAAUGCUGCAUAGUUAAAGUCCAGAAAGGCUUCAUCGAUCUCGCUUGCCAUCUCAGCAGGGGGUCCUUUGGGCUGGGUCAGAUUCGCUGACAGUUUGGUGAACUCCUCAUCGAAAUACCCCACAUCCUCCGGUCCAUUUAGGCUGGGUACGAACGGAGCUGUUACGUUCUUCUCGAUAAUAUCAUCCCAGACAAUGCCCUGCAAAAUAGGCACCAUAGCAAAUGCUCAUUAUUAGAGUUUCAUCAUUAGAAGCUGAGGAUAUGAAAGGACUGUAACUCUUGGAUAAUUAUUUGAACAAUACAGAAAGGGGACUUACAUUAAAGAAUGGAUGUUCUGCUACAUCUGCGGCAUUCCCCGGGGUGGAACCUAGCCUCUCCUCAGGAUUCUUCUUCAACAGCUACAAGAAGUGAAAAUAGCCGUUACACUGAAGAAGCAGAAGCUUCAGGGAACUCAAGAGAAAGUGGUCUCUGAUUAUAAUAAACUGAAAGCUCAGCGCUACUUACCUGUGAUAUGAAGCUUACUGCUUCGGAGUCCAGGGAUGAGGGGUACUGUGGCUCAUCCUCCACGAUGGAAUCGUAUAUAAAGUCCCUGUCGUAUCCGGUGAAAGCCUCCUCUACUGUCAUCUCUUCAGCCUGAGAAUCCUCUGGAAUGGGGCUGUAAUCGCCGGGGAGAGGACCCAUCGAUGUUUCAGAAGAGUCUUCUGCAUUCUCAGGAACUUCACUAUUGGGAAGAGGUCAUUGAGAUUCUGCCUCUUCCCCAGCUUCCUCAUUUGUAUCUUCUACAGGUUCCUCAGAUGAUUCUUCAUGUUGAUGCUGCAAACAAGAGACAGGCAAUUAUUGAAUGUGGCUUUACAUGGAUAUGAUAAGGGCAGUGUUUGUGUCCAAGAAAUGAAUGGCGUCAAUGUAAAAUAC